CUUACAGCAGUGGUAGAUUCCUGCGACGAACCCAAUGACUUCAGGCUUUCACCAAUUUGCCAAUUCUAAAUGUUACCCCAAUCAGGAGAGAUCACUGUAAAAUGGUGCAAACCCACCGCCAACAGAUUCGUUCUUUUUUCAGGUUACUCCUCCUUCAUUAACUACAGUCUGCACGGCCUGAAAAAAAUCCUUUCUUUGUCUCUGGAGCAACUUAUGUACCAACUUCACCCCUAGUCAAGUUCAUGAGAUCUCCUAUUACACAGCUUUAUUACACAGACUUUCAAACUUUGUAGUGGUUUCUCUCUGAGAUGCCAGCAAUUCGCCCACAUCAUUCUGGGAGCAUUAAUAUCCAGACAGGAGUGGCUGCACCGCCAACUUCAGCAGGGCUGCUGUUUAACUAAACCUCCUCAUCACACACCUACAGAUUAUCCGCUGCUGGGGGCUCUUGUUUACUUAGCUACACUUGUGCAUUCAGAAUCAUUGCUUCCUGCAAUACAGCCUUCUCUACAGUGUAAAAGCAACUCUUUAGGGGUUAAGUUAAGUACAUCAAUUUUGUAUUAGAGACUGAUGAGGAAUAACAUCAAAUCUCCCCUUACAACACAAGGUGUGUGUAGGAGGGGGAACCCUGAAUUCCAUAUCUGAUCUAAAGGAACAAACGCCUUUACACUCCUGAGGAGCUCCCACUAUUUAUUAACCCACACAGCUCUCUGACUCAUGACUAAGUUUAGCCUCAUAAUCUGUCCUCUUAACACUAAACUAUUCGAACUGAAUUCAACCUUUUAAGUGACACUUCCACAGACCCAUCUCCAGGCUCAGCUAACACACCGCAUCCACACGUUACCAUUCACAGCUUUCCGAAGAAAACAAAAGAAUGCACGAAGCUGUAAAACCGUGACGGCUCCGGGCUGCACUCGGUCCCAGCGCACGUUUGGCUGCAAGGCAGGUGCAGGCAAACGGCUGCAAGACAAGACCCAACUCCUCUACAAAGAGCAACGCGACUCGCAGCACCGCCCGUGAGGAGAGCGGAGCUCCCGGGAGAAGGCGCAGAGCGGGGCCCGCAGCGGCUGAGGGGCACCGCCAGCCCUGGGGGUCACUCACCCGGGGCCCCAGGGCCCUCGCCGCCGGCCCUCCGGCCUCCCGCCGGCCCCAGGCUGUUGACGAUGUAGUGCGAGACGCGGGAGCUCUCGGACACCGAGAGCACGAAGUCGCCGGGGAUGGAGCCCGAGUCGCGCACCAGGAAGGUCCCGUGGCGUUGCCCCUGCAGCAGCGACACCGCGUCGCCCCGGCUCAGCCGCCCCCAGUACCAGCUCCCCCGGUCCUCGGAGUCGAACUGCCCGGCCAUGAGGGCCGCCCCACCCGCAGGCCGCACUCGCUGCCCCCGCCCCGCGGGCCGCCGCAGCCCGCGGUGCCCCGCUCCGCGCCCAGCCCUGCUACACCAAAAUGGCGGCCCCUGCCCUGACCUCACCUACCGGAAGUGACCGCACGCGGGGGAGACAUGACAUCAUCUCUCCGCGCGGCACUGGGGACGACUGGCUCCCUGUGGGCGGCUGCGCAUGCGCCUUGGGGAGAGUGCAGGCGCUGAGGGGAGCGGUGGAUGCAUUCCCUUCUCUGUGCUUUCGUAGGGCGUUGGUAUCGAGAUGUGCUGCCACCCGCAGUUCCUGCCCUCACCUUCCCUGCCGGCUGUACGUUCCCACCUCACAGCUCUGCCAGUGCAGCUGUUUUCAUGGAAAACCACUGGAAAACGUCUGGAUAACGGCAUAGAGAAUUCUAUUCCAGCUCUGCUCAAUUCUGUGGGAGGCUGCAGUUUGCUAAAUAUAUUAGGAAACACCAGGUGUUUGACUUCUUAUCUGAUGGUUUAACAAAUGAGCAUCCUUCCUUCGCUGAUCCUGUUCUCUCUCCAGAUGGACUGUAGGUAGGAGCCAGUCAUGAUCUAUUUGGAACCCAGAGGCUCAGUUUCCCUGGUGACACAUGGAGUUUGCAAGCUAGCUGCAGAAAUAGCACACUUCUGUGCCCAGGUUUUUCAUAGAUUUGAAAAGCUGGAGAUUUUUGUCGAGAGCCCAGGCUGCUAGGAGAAUUCAAUCCCAGCAGCAGGAAAGUAUGGCCUUUCUGUGUAGUGUUUCACAGACUUCAAAUAAACAAGCCAG
rnacentral:lncRNA from 1 species